GGCCUGGGGUGCCCCGCGAGGGGAGCCCUAGCACAGGUGCUGCAUGGCCGUCGUCAGCUCGUGCCGUGAGGUGUUGGGUUAAGUCCCGCAACGAGCGCAACCCCCGCCGUUAGUUGCCAGCGGUUCGGCCGGGCACUCUAACGGGACUGCCCGCGAAAGCGGGAGGAAGGAGGGGACGACGUCUGGUCAGCAUGGCCCUUACGGCCUGGGCGACACACGUGCUACAAUGCCCACUACAAAGCGAGGCCACCCGGCAACGGGGAGCUAAUCGCAAAAAGGUGGGCCCAGUUCGGAUUGGGGUCUGCAACCCGACCCCAUGAAGCCGGAAUCGCUAGUAAUCGCGGAUCAGCCAUGCCGCGGUGAAUACGUUCCCGGGCCUU
rnacentral:rRNA from 1 species